rnacentral:rRNA from 1 species
GUAAAAAUCGUUACAAGGUUUCCGUAGGUGAACCUGCGGAAGGAUCAUUGUUGAGAGAGCAUAUUGAAAGAUGGGUGAUUGUGAAAGUGUGAACGUGACCCUUUUGUCCCCCCCUCAACUUGGUGGGCGAUUGACCGUAGCUCUGCGCGAUCGGCAAUAAGGAACAACGAACUUGUAAGCAGAAAGCCCCCUUCGCGUGAGCGGGGAGCCCAGUGUGUCGGAGAUUUUUAAGAAUCAAAUGUCUCUCGGCAAUGGAUAUCUCGGCUCAUGCAUAUGGGAAGAAAAUAGAGAAAUGAGAUAUUUGGUGAGAAUUGCAGAAUCUCGUGAAUCAUUGAGUCUUUGAACGCAAAGUGUGCCCGAGGCCGUGUGCUCGAGGGCACGCCCGUCUGGGUGUCAUGACAUCUUCUCUUUUCCUCCAUGUUUUGUCGGCAGGGAGCGGGGAAGUUGGCCCCGUGUGCCCUCGCGCACAGUCGGUGGAAGAGUGGGUAUUCGGUAAUCGUCGAGCACGAUGGACGUUGGUCCUCGCGAGAGAGAACUGAAUCUCGUCCUCGUCGUUUUGGGAUGAGUCCUCAAGAGACCCUGUGUGAUGAUUGCGGAGUCGCGGAAAGCGCCGCGUCAAUCAUUUGCGGCCCCAAGUCAGGCCAGACCACCCGCCGAGUUUAAUCAUAUCAAUA